rnacentral:rRNA from 1 species
UACGUAGGUGGCAAGCGUUGUCCGGAAUUAUUGGGCGUAAAGCGCGCGCAGGCGGUUCUUUUAAGUCUGAUGUGAAAGCCCACGGCUCAACCGUGGAGGGUCAUUGGAAACUGGGGAACUUGAGUACAGAAGAGGAAAGCGGAAUUCCACGUGUAGCGGUGAAAUGCGUAGAGAUGUGGAGGAACACCAGUGGCGAAGGCGACUCUUUGGCCUGUAACUGACGCUGAGGCGCGAAAGCGUGGGGAGCAAACAG